rnacentral:rRNA from 1 species
UACGAAGGGGGCUAGCGUUGUUCGGAAUUACUGGGCGUAAAGCGCGCGUAGGCGGAUCUGCAAGUCGGGGGUGAAAUCCCGAGGCUCAACCUCGGAACUGCCCUCGAUACUGCGGGUCUCGAGUCCGGGAGAGGUGAGUGGAAUUCCUAGUGUAGAGGUGAAAUUCGUAGAUAUUAGGAAGAACACCAGUGGCGAAGGCGGCUCACUGGCCCGGUACUGACGCUGAGGCGCGAAAGCGUGGGGAGCAAACAGG